rnacentral:rRNA from 1 species
AUUGAACGCUAGCGGGAGGCCUAACACAUGCAAGUCGAACGAGUGGCGGACGGGUGAGUAAUAUAUCGGAACGUGCCUAGUAGCGGGGGAUAACUACUGGACACGGUGGCUAAUACCGCAUACCAUAGGAGAGGCCGAUAUCGGAUUAGCUAGUUGGUGGGGUAACGGCUCACCAAGGCAACGAUCCGUAGCUGGUUUGAGAGGAGGACCAGCCACACUGGAACUGAGACACGGGCCAGACUCCUACGGGAGGCAGCAGUGGGGAAUAUUGGACAAUGGGGGAAAGCCUGAUGCAGCCAUGCCGCGUGUAUGAUGAAGGCCUUCGGGUUGUAAAGUACUUUCAGCGGAGAGGCGUUAACUGCAGAAUAAGCACCGGCUAACUCCGUGCCAGCAGCCGCGGUAAUAC